UACAGAGGGGGCAAGCGUUGUUCGGAAUUACUGGGCGUAAAGGGCGCGUAGGCGGCCUUCUAAGUCAUGCGUGAAAUCCCCGGGCUCAACCCGGGAACUGCGUCUGAUACUGGCAGGCUCGAAUCCGGGAGAGGGAUGUGGAAUUCCAGGUGUAGCGGUGAAAUGCGUAGAUAUCUGGAGGAACACCGGUGGCGAAGGCGGCGACCUGGGCCAAUAUUGACGCUGAGGUGCGAAAGCGUGGGGAGCAAACAGG
rnacentral:rRNA from 1 species